GCCUGGGUGGCUCAGUUGGUUGAGCGUCCGACUUCGGCUCAGGUCAUGAUCUCACAGUUUGUGGGUUCGAGCCCCGCGCCGGGCU
rnacentral:tRNA from 1 species